rnacentral:rRNA from 1 species
CCUACGGGUGGCAGCAGUGAGGAAUAUUGGUCAAUGGCCGGAAGGCUGAACCAGCCAAGUCGCGUGAGGGAUGACGGCCCUAUGGGUUGUAAACCUCUUUUAUACGGGGAUAAAAAAUGUCACGUGUAGCAUGUUGCCUGUACCGCAUGAAUAAGCAUCGGCUAAUUCCGUGCCAGCAGCCGCGGUAAUACGGAGGGUGCGGGCGUUAUCCGGAUUUAUUGGGUUUAAAGGGUGCGUAGGCCGGUUUUUAAGGUUGCGGUGAAACGGCGUGGCUCCACCAUUGUUCUGCGGUGCAUACUGGAUGGCUCGAGUGCAGGGAAGGUAGGCGGAAUUAGUGGGGUAGCGGUGAAAUGCUUAGAUAUAACGAAGAACUCCGAUUGCGAAGGCAGCAUACGGCAGCGCGACUGACGCUGAAGCACGAAGGCGUGGGUAUCGAACAGGAUUAGAUACCCUAGUAGUC